GAUGAACGCUAGCGGCAGGCUUAAUACAUGCAAGUCGAGGGGCAGCGCAGUGUAGCAAUACAUGGGCGGCGACCGGCAAACGGGUGCGGAACACGUACACAACCUUCCUAUAAGUGGGGGAUAGCCCAGAGAAAUUUGGAUUAAUACCCCGUAAGAUAACGAUGUGGCAUCAUAUUGUUAUUAAAGCUACGGCGCUUAUUGAUGGGUGUGCGGCUGAUUAGAUAGUUGGCGGGGUAAAGGCCCACCAAGUCUACGAUCAGUAGCUGAUGUGAGAGCAUGAUCAGCCACACGGGCACUGAGACACGGGCCCGACUCCUACGGGAGGCAGCAGUAAGGAAUAUUGGUCAAUGGACGCAAGUCUGAACCAGCCAUGCCGCGUGAAGGAUUAAGGUCCUCUGGAUUGUAAACUUCUUUUAUAUGGGACGAAAAAAGGGCAUUCUUGCUCGUCUGACGGUACCUGAAGAAGAAGCACCGGCUAACUACGUGCCAGCCGCCGCAGUAAUAC
rnacentral:rRNA from 1 species